CCUACGGGUGGCAGCAGUGGGGAAUAUUGCACAAUGGGGGAAACCCUGAUGCAGCGACGCCGCGUGAGUGAAGAAGUAUUUCGGUAUGUAAAGCUCUAUCAGCAGGGAAGAAACCCACCCUCCGGGGUGGCUGACGGUACCUGACUAAGAAGCCCCGGCUAACUACGUGCCAGCAGCCGCGGUAAUACGUAGGGGGCAAGCGUUAUCCGGAUUUACUGGGGGUAAAGGGAGCGUAGGUGGCAAGGCAAGUCAGAUGUGAAACCCCGGGGCCCAACCCCGGGAGUGCAUUUGAAACUGUCUGGCUAGAGUGCAGGAGAGGUAAGUGGAAUUCCUGGUGUAGCGGUGAAAUGCAUAGAUAUUAGGAGGAACCCCAGUGGCGAAGGCGGCUUACUGGACUGUAACUGACACUGAGGCUCGAAAGCGUGGGGAGCAAACAGGAUUAGAUACCCUUGUAGUC
rnacentral:rRNA from 1 species